AAGAUGGCGACCGGCGCACGGGUGAGUAACACGUAUCCAACCUGCCGAUAACUCCGGGAUAGCCUUUCGAAAGAAAGAUUAAUACCGGAUGGCAUACGAAUAUCGCAUGAUAUUUUUUUUAAAGAAUUUCGGUUAUCGAUGGGGAUGCGUUCCAUUAGUUUGUUGGCGGGGUAACGGCCCACCAAGACUACGAUGGAUAGGGGUUCUGAGAGGAAGGUCCCCCACAUUGGAACUGAGACACGGUCCAA
rnacentral:rRNA from 1 species